GAUGAACGCUGGCGGUAUGCCUAACACAUGCAAGUCGUACGAGAGUUUUUAACUCUAGUGGCGGACGGGUGAGUAACACGUGAGUAUUUGCCUUUAGGAGGGGGAUAACAAUUGGAAACGAAUGCUAAUACCCCAUAUGCUUUUGAGUGAAAUGGGAUUUUAUCCGCCUAGAGAGAAGCUCGCGGCUGAUUAGCUUGUUGGUAAGGUAAGAGCUUACCAAGGCGACGAUCAGUAUCUGGUUUGAGAGGACGAUCAGACACACUGGAACUGAGACACGGUCCAGACUCCUACGGGAGGCAGCAGUGGGAAUUUUCCGCAAUGGGCGAAAGCCUGACGGAGCAAUACCGCGUGAGGGAAGAAUGCCUAUGGGUUGUAAACCUCUUUUUUCAGGGAGGAAUAAAAUGACGUGUACCUGAAGAAUAAGCAUCGGCUAACUCCGUG
rnacentral:rRNA from 1 species